rnacentral:rRNA from 1 species
GAUGAACGCUGGCGGCGUGCUUAACACAUGCAAGUCGAACGAAGCACUUUAUUUGAUUUCCUUCGGGACUGAUUAUUUUGUGACUGAGUGACGGACGGGUGAGUAACGCGUGGGUAACCUGCCUUGUACAGGGGGAUAACAGUUGGAAACGGCUGCUAAUACCGCAUAAGCGCACGGCAUCGCAUGAUGCAGUGUGAAAAACUCCGGUGGUAUAAGAUGGACCCGCGUUGGAUUAGCUAGUUGGUGAGGUAACGGCCCACCAAGGCGACGAUCCAUAGCCGACCUGAGAGGGUGACCGGCCACACUGGGACUGAGACACGGCCGAAACUCCUACGGGAGGCAGGAGUGGGGAAUAUUGCACAAUGGGCGAAAGGCUGAUGCAGCGACGCCGCGUGAGCGAAGAAGUAUUUCGGUAUGUAAAGCUCUAUCAGCAGGGAAGAUAAUGACGGUACCUGACUAAGAAGCACCGGCUAAAUACGUG